GACGAACGCUGGCGGCGUGCUUAACACAUGCAAGUCGAACGGAAAGGCCCUGCGUGUGUGGUGUGCUCGAGUGGCGAACGGGUGAGGAACACGUGAGUAACCUGCCCUUGACUUUGGGAUAACUUCAGGAAACUGGGGCUAAUACCGGAUAGCAUCCCCUGUUGCAGUGUGGGGAGUGGAAAUUUUAGGCGGGUGGGGAUGAAUGCGCGGCUUAUCAGCUUGUUGGUGGGGUAGUGGCUGACCAAGGCUUUGAAGGGUAGCCGGCCUGAGAGGGUGACAGGCCACAUUGGGACUGAGAUGAGGCACAGAAUCCUACGGGAGGCAGCAGUGCGGAAUAUUGCACCAUGGGCGGAAGCCUGAUGCAGCAACGCCGCGUGCGGGAUGACGGCCUUCGGGUUGUAAACAGCUUUCGCCUGUGACGAAGCGUGAGUGACGGUAAUGGGUAGAGAAGCACCGGCUAAAUACGUG
rnacentral:rRNA from 1 species